GCCAGCAGCUAUCACUCUGCAGCUCUCGCCUGGUUGCCCACCGACGCUAAGCAGGGCUGAGCCUGGUCACUACCUGGAUGGGAGACCUCCUGGGAAAACUAGGUUGCUGCUGGAA
rnacentral:rRNA from 1 species